GCACAAUUAUACACUAUCUUGGAACUUUGCCGUGCAUUUGAUAGGAUAUUCAAGGAGCAUCUGGAUGGAGGGCGACCUGGAGGUGAUCGAAUUUAUGGAGUCUUUGACAAUCAGCUCCCUGCUGCUUUGAGGAAGCUUCCAUUUGAUCGGCAUCUUUCUCUGCAGAAUGUGAGGAGAGUGGUCUCAGAGGCAGAUGGUUAUCAGCCACAUCUGAUUGCCCCAGAGCAAGGUUACAGGCGUCUUAUCGAGGGAGCACUGAAUUAUUUUAGGGGUCCAGCUGAAGCUUCUGUGGAUGCUGUUCACUUUGUCCUAAAAGAACUUGUGAGAAAAUCAAUAGGAGAAACACAGGAAUUGAAGCGUUUUCCUACUUUGCAAGCUGAAAUAGCUGCUGCAUCAAAUGAGUCCUUGGAGAGGUUCCGUGAGGAUAGUAAG
rnacentral:misc_RNA from 1 species